GCCAAGGUAGCUCAGUGGUAGAGCAGAGGCCUGAAAAGCCUUGUGUCGGCAGUUCGAUUCUGCCUCUUGGCACCA
rnacentral:tRNA from 5 species